GAUAAACGCUGGCGGCGUGCUUAACACAUGCAAGUCGAACGGAGUACUUCUCCCGAGACCGAGGAAGCUUGCUUCCAAAGAAUCAUUUGAAGUACUUAGUGGCGGACGGGUGAGUAACGCGUGGGUAACCUGCCUCACACAGGGGGAUAACAGUUGGAAACGACUGUUAAUACCGCAUAAGCGCACAGUAUCGCAUGGUACAGUGUGAAAAACUCCGGUGGUGUGAGAUGGACCCGCGUCUGAUUAGCUAGUUGGUGAGGUAACGGCCCACCAAGGCGACGAUCAGUAGCCGGCCUGAGAGGGUGUACGGCCACAUUGGGACUGAGACACGGCCCAAACUCCUACGGGAGGCAGCAGUGGGGAAUAUUGCACAAUGGGGGAAACCCUGAUGCAGCGACGCCGCGUGAGCGAUGAAGUAUUUCGCGUAUGUAAAGCUCUAUCAGCAGCGAAGAUACAUGAC
rnacentral:rRNA from 1 species